rnacentral:lncRNA from 1 species
AUUUCUACCAUCUACGUCAUGUGGCACUUGGGAACAUGCAGUUUGAUCCUGGACACUACUCUCAGACUCUCUGAGCCUCAGCCUGCUCACCUCUGAGGAAGGGGGAUAAACGCCCAGCACAGAACAAGCUUAACAUCAGACAUCCUGAACCGCUGACUGUGGACCACCCCGACCCUGCAAUCUCACAAUGGGAUUUUUUUAUCUUAUCUCUUCCCAAAUACUAUGAACUCCUCCAGACACUGCAUUCCUUAUUAAACUGGACAUAUAUGUCUAACUUAAAAGGUAAUGAACUAAAAAGUCAAGGUAUAGAUCAGGGAACCAGGCCCCCCAGCAGCCCCCAAAGUUGUUGGUGUCUUCACACUGGAAAACAAGCCAUUUGAUUCCUUUUAGCUGGAGAAAAAAUGCAUUAAACUUUGUAACUGAGAACAUUUAUGAUCCAUCUGACCCCAAAUCUCAAAACCCAUUGAAAGUGGCAUUUAAAUCUCACAGUGCCCUGAGAUUCUGCCAACACCAGUGGGGAACAUAGCUAAGAGAUUGUGUUACAUCUUUGACCUGAGCUUUUUUUUUUCUUUUAAAUAUGGUCUUGAUAAAUGAUUUCCCAUUUACCUUUUUCCUUUCUCUAUUGUCUGUAACCUUGAAACUUGAUUUGCUAUCCACCAGGCAACACUGAUUUGCAACUUCACUAGAUAGGUUGGAGGAGGGGGGCUUACAGCCUCAAAACAACCCUG